GAUGAACGCUGGCGGCGUGCCUAAUACAUGCAAGUCGAGCGAACAGACGAGGCGCUUGCUCCGCGGACGUUAGCGGCGGACGGGUGAGUAACACGUGUAUAACCUACCUAUAAGACUGGGAUAACUUGGGGAAACCGGAGCUAAUACCGGAUAAGAUAUUGAACCGCAUGGUUCAAUAGUGAAAGACGGUUUUGCUGUCACUUAUAGAUGGAUCCGCGCCGCAUUAGCUAGUUGGUAAGGUAACGGCUUACCAAGGCGACGAUGCGUAGCCGACCUGAGAGGGUGAUCGGCCACACUGGAACUGAGACACGGUCCAGACUCCUACGGGAGGCAGCAGUAGGGAAUCUUCCGCAAUGGGCGAAAGCCUGACGGAGCAACGCCGCGUGAGUGAUGAAGGUCUUCGGAUCGUAAAGCUCUGUUAUUAGGGAAGAACAAAUGUGUACGUAAAUAUGCAGGUCUUGACGGUACCUAAUCAGAAAGCCACGGCUAACUACGUG
rnacentral:rRNA from 1 species